AAAAAAUUGUCAGGUGUCAGUUGUCAAAAAAAAAAUUGUCAGGUGUCAGAAAAAAAAUUGUCAGGUAUCAGACAAAAAAUUGUCAGGUGUCAGACAAAAAGUUGUCAGGUGUCAGAAAAAAAGUUGUCAGGUGUCAAAAAAAAAUUGUCAGGUAUCAGAACACAAGGUACCAGAGAGAAAAUCUUCCUGCAGGUGGCGCUGUUGUCAUGUCCCACCCGAAUUGAUUUCCAAAUACGUCAUCAACGUGUGACCGUGGGAGAGCGUAAGGUCAUUGACCUCACCGGAGUUUUACCGUGGUUCAGGCUCCUAACGACACAAGGUAAGUUUAACUUUUUCUCCCUUUUGUUCAUAUUUUUGCCACAGUUGUGUUAUAUUAAGUUGCAGUUAUGUUGUGAAAGUUACAUAUCAGAGACGGAAAGCCAGUUUUGUACGAAACCAAAUCAGUACUAUUUUUGUCUGGCUAAUUCAUUCUAGCUAGCGACAGUGGUGAAACGUGAUUCAAAUUUAAACUGUUCAGUAAUUGUUUUGUAUACAUUUCAGCAAAUGGACAAGCUGAAAGCUCACGAGCAGCCUGCAUCCUUUCUGUCGCUCUUUUUCUUUAUUUCUCUUUUCUAUAUUGCUACUGUCGGGAUAUUUUUUGAUCCCGAUAUGUUUUUUUCUGUUGUUGUUUUUAGACUUUGCUGCAAUAUGUCAUCUGACGAUGAUGAAAGGAAUAUGAUGAUAAUAACAUUGUUCAACAAAGGCUUAAAACAAAAGGAAAUCAGCUGUGCACUGAAUUCAUAUGGGCAUAAAAUAAGGUAAGUCUGCAUUUCAACAGUUUCCGUGACAACUCUCUAAAAUGACAAAACAUGCAGUUUGCAUUUAAUAUAAUGUAAGUCUGUGUUGUCUUUUAACAGUGAGAGGCAUCUGAGACGAGUUUUAAAACUUCUAGGGUUGAAGCGAAGAUGCCCCUAACGACCUUUUACUGAA
ensembl:lncRNA